ensembl:lncRNA
GUUAGGACACUGAGGCUCACUCAGCCUGGCCAAUUUGGUGGCUCUGAGAAAGGGGAGGAGCCAAUAUCUGGAGUGGGACUCUUCUCCUACCCAACCCAACCCAACCUCCAUUGAAGUGAACUGACCCUGCAGGUCAGGAGCUUUGCCAGUGCUCUCAUUUCUGGAUCAUUCACGAUGGACAGACAGAAAAGGGACUGAAGGAGAAGAUGACAUUUGCCUUACAGAGGCUCACUAGGCACCUGCAUGAAGGAGGCAGCAUCAGAUGCAUCAUUAGUGCAAAUAAGCUCUGCUCAGUGAUGGAGCGGGAUGGGGUUCCAUCUGAUUUCCUUACAAACUUAGAAGACAUCAGUGGCCCUUUUCUGAGUUGGUAAUGGCUGUGUUCUCCUUCACUUCUUUCCCUCCCUCUUUCUGCUUGCCCAUUCCCAAUACCAUCUUUUGGGAAGUGUGGCCUCUCUAGCAUCUCAGACCCCAGUCCUGAGGGAAGUGCUGCGAACUGAGGAGCUGGAGAAGAAGGUUGCUCUCUUAGCUCUGACCCACCCUCACAUCUGGGAGAACUUGGGCAGCUCCCUGCACCUGAGUCUGCAUCUGUCUGCUGUUUCCUGAAAUUGUGAUGAUAAUCCCUGCCUUGGCCCCUCACCGGCUGCCAGAACAGGCCUUGUAAGGCCUAGUUGGAUAUUAGGGGUUGCUGUUCUUUGUUGGGAAGCUCUGGACAUGCAUGUGUAUACACUGUACACAUGGGCACACAUACAGCUGCACAUGAGGUUUUUUAUUGCUAUUGUUUCCAAAAUUCUAACCCUUCCAAUUUCUGUUUUUGACUGAAUGUUUUCCCCACCCUGCCCUCUUCAUCCUUGGAAGCCCUGCUCUGCAGUGCAAUGGUAUGAGAAAAUGGACCUUUGGAGGUGAUCAGGAUCAGAGGAGGCCACAAGGGUAGGGCCCUCAUGUUGGAAGAGUCACCAGAGACCCUUCUCCCUGGCUCUGUUCUCCAGUACGUGAGGAUGCAACACAAGAGGAGAAGCUGGCCGUCAGCAACCAGACACUGGAUCUUCUGGCUCCUUGAUCAUGGAUGUCCAGCCUCCAGAGCUGUGAGAAAUAAACUGCUGCUGAUAAGCCCCUGGCCUGUGGUAUUCUGUUACAGUAGCCCAAGGGACUCAAACCCGGCAAAGGUGGCUCAGGGCUCCACAGUGAAGUGGACAACAGUAAGAUUUACCACGUGGGAGUGGCUACAUUGUCCUGACACUUCACACAGGAUGGCUGGUCCUCACAGUAAUCCUAUGAGGGAGGCAUCAAGAGCCACAAGUUCCAGGAGAGUGUGGGAGACUGCAGAAGGAUGGUCACUGAUGAUCCACACCUAGAAGUGGGCACAUCUCUACAUUGCAGUAGCCAGAAGCCAGGCAUAGGGUCCUUUACUGAAUCAAGGUAAGUGGUGGUGGAGGCAUGGCCUUCCUGUGUUCUGGGGAAAACCCAGAAGCAAGAACUCUUGACAUUGUCAUUCCUAUAAUGGGGAUAACAGUUUUCUGUCUCCCAGAGAUGCUGUGAAGAUUGCACAUGAAAAUCUGCAUGGAGCACUUAGAGUAAGCCCUCAGCAUCUCAUCUCUUACUCUGCACUGUGCAUCACUGCUAGUUAG